rnacentral:rRNA from 1 species
AUUGAACGCUGGCGACAUGCCUUACACAUGCAAGUCGAACGGCAGCACGGGUGCUUGCACCUGGUGGCGAGUGGCGAACGGGUGAGUAAUACAUCGGAACAUGUCCUGUAGUGGGGGAUAGCCCGGCGAAAGCCGGAUUAAUACCGCAUACGAUCUACGGAUGAAAGCGGGGGACCUUCGGGCCUCGCGUUAUUGGGUUGGCCGAUGGCUGAUUAGCUAGUUGGUGGGGUAAAGGCUUACCAAGGCGACGAUCAGUAGCUGGUCUGAGAGGACGACCAGUCACACUGGGACUGAGACACGGCCCAGACUCCUACAGGAGGCAGCAGUGGGGAAUUUUGGACAAUGGGCGAAAGCCUGAUCCAGCAAUGCCGCGUGUGUGAAGAAGGCCUUCGGGUUGUAAAGCACUUUUGUCCGGAAAGAAAUCCUUGGCCCUAAUACGGUCGGGGGAUGACGGUACCGGAAGAAUAAGCACCGGCUAACUACGUG